AGAGGUGCAAUGAUGUUGAAAUCUACCUAUUUUAUGAACGAAGCUUGAGUUUUCGAUUCAUGAUUAGAAACAACCAAUGGAUCCUUCUGAGCACUCUAAAUAUAUUCUAUUUUUUUAACUCAUGAAUACAAUGUAGUUUAGAUGCCAUUAAGGUGAUGAGAAAGUUGUCGGAAAAUAUGAUGUCGAUUGAUAAAUACUUCCAGACUACAAUUAUCUGAUUAAUG
rnacentral:lncRNA from 1 species